AUCAUGCAAGUCGAGCGAAUGAUGAGGAGCUUGCUCCUCUGAUUUAGCGGCGGACGGGUGAGUAACACGUGGGUAAUCUGCCUGUAAGACGGGGAUAACUCCGGGAAACCGGGGCUAAUACCGGAUAAUAAGAGAAGAAGCAUUUCUUCUUUUUGAAAGUCGGUUUCGGCUGACACUUACAGAUGAGCCCGCGGCGCAUUAGCUAGUUGGUGAGGUAACGGCUCACCAAGGCGACGAUGCGUAGCCGACCUGAGAGGGUGAUCGGCCACACUGGGACUGAGACACGGCCCAGACUCCUACGGGAGGCAGCAGUAGGGAAUCUUCGGCAAUGGGCGAAAGCCUGACCGAGCAACGCCGCGUGAGCGAUGAAGGCCUUCGGGUCGUAAAGCUCUGUUGUUAGAGAAGAACAAGUACGAGAGUAACUGCUCGUACCUUGACGGUACCUAACCAGAAAGCCACGGCUAACUACGUGCCAGCAGCCGCGGUAAUACGUAGGUGGCAAGCGUUAUCCGGAAUUAUUGGGCGUAAAGCGCGCGCAGGCGGUCUCUUAAGUCUGAUGUGAAAGCCCACGGCUCAACCGUGGAGGGUCAUUGGAAACUGGGAGACUUGAGUGCAGGAGAGAAAAGUGGAAUUCCACGUGUAGCGGUGAAAUGCGUAGAGAUGUGGAGGAACACCAGUGGCGAAGGCGGCUUUUUGGCCUGUAACUGACGCUGAGGCGCGAAAGCGUGGGGAGCAAACAGGAUUAGAUACCCUGGUAGUCCACGCCGUAAACGAUGAGUGCUAGGUGUUGGGGGGUUCCACCCUCAGUGCUGAAGUUAACACAUUAAGCACUCCGCCUGGGGAGUACGACCGCAAGGUUGAACUCAAGGAAUUGACGGGGGCCCGCACAGCAGUGAGCAUGUGGUUUAAUCGAGCACGCGAGACUACCAGUCUGACAUCCUCUGACCACUCUAGAGAUAGAGCUUCCCCUCGGGGACGAGUGACAGUGUGCAUGGCUGUCGUCAGCUCAGUCGUGAAUGUGGGUAAGUCCGCACGAGGCAUCUGACCUAGCGCAGCAUCAGUGUCCUAGGUACUGCGUACAAUCGGACGAGAUCCGUGGCG
rnacentral:rRNA from 1 species